GGUUGGGUGUAGGAGCAUGAAGAUUGGAUGUGGUAGCAUGAAGCCUGAGUUUGGGAGCACCAAGACUAGGUAUAAGAGCAUGGAGAUUGGGUAGGGAUGCCAAAAGCCUGGGUGUGGGAGCACAAAGAUUGGGUUUGGGACCACAAGGAAUGGAUGUGGGAACAUGAAGCCUGGGUUUGGGAGCACUGAGACGAGGUAUGGGAAUACUGGCUCUACUACUGAGUCACAGGGAGAAACAGCUCUUCAGUAGAAGGUACUUGGGUGAGGAAGGGCAGAGAGCAGAAUUACUGCCAUCACACAGGAGAGUAAUGGCAGAGCUCAGCCAGGACAGGAGUUGCUGUGGUAGUAACGGACCUAGCAGAACAGAAUUCAAAGAUUUUCCUGGUGUUUCUUGCCAAGACCUCAGCGGCCACACUGGGGAUGCAUCCUUAGAGGUAAAACUGUGUGCCGAUCCUAUUGCAGGCCUGAGGUGUCUGUUGGGGGAUCUCCAUCCCUUCCAGAAGACUGUGUCUGCUAAGCUCUGGCUCCUUGAACAGGGCAGAGGGGACAGGAUGCUUGUGACUGGACAAACUCUCACCUCUCAAGAGUGUCCCUCUUGCACAGUGACAGGGAAAACUGGAGCCCCUGGGAGAUCCCAAUAUGGGCAAACUCCACACACGAUACCAAGUCAAGAGCCAUCUUCAGCAGACAGCAGCUAGCAAGUAGUUUUUUAUAUCAAAGACCAAAAGGAACAGGAUGCUGCCAACAACACAGGAAAGCUGGAAACACUGUCCUAGGCUGGGCUCUGGAUGUACACAUGGCCCCGGCUGUCGCAUCCGCUCUCGACCAGCAAGAACGACACGACCACCAGUCCUUCUAACAGCAGUUUAUUCAGCAAACUUCCGUCUUCAUCUCUCUCGCUUCAACUUUUUCUCUCAUCUUUUUUAUCUCUCUCUCUAACCCGGGCCUCUCACUCUUAUAUACUCUCAGCCCUCAUCCAUUCAUGGCAUGCCAUGUCACCUCACCAGGCACGCAGCUUCAGCUAAUCAGGGCAGCAGGGGCAUGUCUCCACCAAAAUGGAUUCCUGGUGCACCUGUGCAGCUCUCACGAUGGUUGUGGCUUAUUUUCAGGUGUAUGAGGAAGUCAGGUGCAAGUCAUAAGACUUAGCUGCAGUCCCUGGCGCCUUCUUGGGACUGCUGCCACACCCGCUCCUCACACCCAGCAACAUCUCAACUGCAGUCUCAUGAAACCUGAACUCAGGGCAGAGCUAAGGGGCUCUAGAGCUGCCCCAUACAAGUGUGGCAGGAGCAGAUCUGUUUCUUUGAGUGGGAAGUUCAUGUUAACCUGAGCAACGCCAUAUAUAGCAAAUGCGCUUAGUAGGAUUAGCAAACAUCUCAGGUCAGAGAGACACCAGAAAAGUCCCAGGGCCUGCUCUGUCCCGGCUUCUGAGGCUGAAAUGGGGAGCUCUGAGAUCCGUGCCAGAGCCAAACACAGUGUUAUUUGCCCAGUGCACACACUGGCUAUUUGCUAAGUGCGAACACGAAAACGUUCUCUGAGCCCUUUAAGUCCUCGAUUUUAUUCUGUGUAUUGAGCAUGACUCAUGCACACAGCUGUCAAUCUGCCAUCUCCCUGGGGAUGUCAAGGCAGAUCCUCGGUGGCAAGGCCUCCACAGCUAAAUCUCCUGUCCCCACUUUAAGCUUGACCUCCAUCCAGACUUGCCUAUCCAUAAACAGCCCGCUUGGAGCUGGUCACCACCUCUCACACCACAGCCGCUUCUUUGUCCUUUGGAAAUGUACUUCAAAGCCAAGUAACAAUGCCCAUGGCUAUGGUGACAGCCUGACUGUCACCAGACAGACACCCCAACUCCAGCCUGAGCUCACAGACACCCCCACUGGCCUCCCGCUGCCACGUCUGCCCUCUUCCACUUAAUCUCCAAACUCCAGCCAAAACAGCUAUUUUCUUAAGUGAAAUUGCAAAUUUUAGUCCUACUUAAAACCUUCCUUGGCAUCCAGCGCCUCUUGAUCAAAUGAAGUCGCUUGACCCCUCAGCAGCCUGAGUCAGCAGGUCCUGCGGCUCCGGGUGAGCUAAGUCUACUUCCUCAUCUUUCCCUGCAAACAGCUGCAGCCCUUCUGGGCCAGGAAUUUCCAGGAGCUGGGACAUGGUGUCUCCUAUGCUGGCUAAAAUAUCCCACCUUCCUGUGCACCUCAGCGUGAGCAUCAAUCCCUGUAAUAGGCCCUUCGUCCAUGGCAUCCCUUUCCUCGCUGUGCACAGCAAGAUUACUAAGCAGAAAAUUACAUAUGAGCUUGUUACUUAUGUUAAUGCUUUCCCAAUCAGACUGUCAGCUGCCCAAGAGUCCAAAUGACGGGACUCUUGGGCACACACUCUACAGAAAAGCUAAGCGUGAAGUCUGGUCUCUGAGAGCCCCCAAAACAUUCCGGGAUAGGCCCCUUUGGUUCCCAGGAGAAGUGUAGAUGGAGUUCCCUAAGGACAAAUAGGAGGUAUGGAGAGAAGCCUUCAGUCUAACCUCAGUCUUUCCUCAGAUAGAUCCUGCUGCACUCUGGCCUGUCCCUGCAUGCCAGAUAGGUGGCCCUGAGUAAGUUAUGGCCACACGCAUCUUAGAAACAGGUUCCUCAUUGCCUCCUCCAUGGGCUACAGCAGUAGUUCACAACCUUCCUAAUGCUAUAACCAUUUAAUAGAAUUUCUCAUGUUGUGAACCCCAACUAUAAAAUUAUUUUCAUUGCUACUCCAUAACUGUAGUUUUGCUACUGUUAUGAAUCAAUGUAAAUAUCUGAUAUUUAGGAUAUCUGAUAUGUGAUCCCCCAAAGAGGCUCCAACCCACAGGCUGAGAACUGCUGGGGUAGAGAGGAAAAGGAAGAGGAGCAGUGGAGUGUGCUAAGGCCACACAGUUGCAGCGUGUAACAAUCAGUGGGUAUAAGCACAUGGCAGGCCACCCAGAACCAACUGAGCUAGCCAGAGAAAACUGGUGCGGGGGGGGGGGGGGUCAGAAGCUGGGCUGGAGGCUGUUGGAGAGACAGGAGAAAGGGUUUAUGGAGUCAGGAGCCCCAUUACAGAAGACACCAGCAAACAAGUAGAGAAAAAAAAAACCCAUAGGCUAGCAGUAUACUUGACACUCCAGGCUCAGUUCAUCUGCAAGCAGGCACUGCUCCUUCCAAUGGAGCCUUGCCUGUGACUUCAGAAGGCCUGACAGCCUUCAUGGAUACACAAGGCUGAGGGGCAAUAGGAGAUGGGCUGCGGAACUAGAUUGGUGGUAGCUUUCCAGAGGAGCGUAUUUGUUAGAUCCUAUCAUCUUCAUACAAUGAAAGUGGGGUACAGAGACAGUGGCAAGGACUCUCAGUUGCAAUGCAGGAAUGAGGAGAAGAGGAAGGAGAGAAAUGGCAGCUGCUUUAGGCUGUUUGGGAGUCUCUACUGGAGUUCAAGUCAAGGGAGAAGAGGCCAAUGGUAGGCUCCUCUGACACACUUGACAAAGUCUGUCUGUGGACAUCAGACACAUGGGAAGAAACAGCGCCAUUGCAGCAGCCAGGUUACAAAGCAGCCAAAUGGUUAGCCAGCACCAUCACCGCCCACAUCUAGGACCCUCUCAGCACAAAGGGGAUCCACACACCCAUCAUGAUAUUUGCAGAAACGUAAUACUUCAAAACACACAAAAGCUUCAAGAUGGGGUCCAAUUUAAUCUGCAGUUGAAUACCAGAAGCACAAUGAUCCUAAAAUUAAAUGACAUCAUCUGUCAAAACAGUGGCUUUCUAAUUUGAGUUAAGGCACUGUGGAAUUUUAUGUGGAAAGAAACAUUUAAUUAGGACGGAGUUUUCUGCCAGAGCGGACUCAGGGAAAGUCUGGCCAGCUUUAGUGAGGUUCCCCAUCGGCCAUCAGCAGCAAGGACAUGGAGGGGAGUCCUAGUCACCCAAGAGUGUACCAAUGGGAAUCUCCCUCACAUAUGCAGUGGUGACCCUGGCUCUUUGAGUGACAGCUAACAUGUCACACAACCAGGGACCAUGAGACUUAACAUUCAGAGGGUAUUUCUCAGAUGAUACUGGAUGCCACUCUAGGUCCCCUGACACAGCAGGGCAUGGUAGGACUCAGACCCUUCCAGCAUCCACAGCCACAUCUACAUGAAACUAGCAUUUAGACUCACCUUAUUUUUAUUUGUAACCAAAGAGUCAGGGCUGCUCUCCCUAUUUGUCUGAGAAUUACAGUGCUGGUGUCUUGGUCUUUUUUCCUAUUACUAUAAUAAGUACUCAAAUAAAAACAACUUGAGAAGAAAGGUUUAUUCUACUCACAAUUCAAGAUACAGUUUAGUGUGGUAGGAAAACAGAGGCAGCAGGAGCUGGAAGCAGCUGGUCACGUGACAUCUGCAGUCAGGAAGCAAAAAGUGAUGAGUGCUUCUGCUGUUCCGCUCUUUCUCCAUUCACACCAUCCAGGAUCCCAGCCAGGGAAUGGGGUCGCCCACAGUGGACAGGCCUUCCCAUGUCAAUUAAUGUAAUCACUGUAAUAGCUCACAAGCAUGCUAAGAGGCUUGUCUCCCAAUUGAUUCUAGAUUCUGUCACAGAGUGUCUCAUUGGUUCUCCUAGUCAGGCAAUGAGUGCCUCAAAAGAAAAAGUCAUGUUUAGUGCAUAGCCCCUCCCCGGUCCCUGGCAGCACAGCUUUCAUCUGGGAUGCAUGGGUGUUCCAUACACACUCGGUGAGUAAGAUAAACUAGAAUCUUGAGCCUCCUUGAUGGAGUAAUUGAUUUUAAAAAGGUGGGUAUAUCACUGGACACACAUAAACUCAGGAAGACAUUUGCACCUUUUUAUGUAUUUUUGAGACAGCUUCUUAUGAAGACCAAGCUAGCCUCGAACUCACCAUGUUGCUAAGGAUGAUCUGGAGAUGCUCAUCCUCCUGCCUCUGCCUCCCGACUGCUGGGAUUACAGGCUCAUACCAUAAUAUCUAGAUUAUGCAGUAUUGGGGAUCAGUCCCAAGGUUUCAUGCAAGCUGGGCACUCAACCUACCAACCAACCUACAUCCCCCACCUUCAGCUCACAUUCAACACAUCAUCUAAAGGAUGCUCUUGGUUUUAAAGGGAUUCCUGUCCCAAGAAGCAUUUGUCAUAGCCAGAAGAGGCAUUCCCACAGAAAUGAUGCAGUAAGAGUCUACAAACUAUAAUAAUAAAUGCAACCCCAGUUCAUGAGUCUGCACUGGCUGAUGGACCAGGUUCUUGCCAAAAUUAAGGUCCCAAGUCUAUAGGAGCCAAAACAGUAUUAAGCUGAAGUCAUAAAUUCCAAGACCUAAAGUCACCUCUAUUAUGAAAGUGGAAGUGAUGUUGUAACUUUUAAAGGGUGAGUUAUUAGCCAACAAGCAAAGAUAGUAUCUACGUGACUCACCAAAAUGAUUCACAAAGAAAUGCUAAAUUGGCUUUUCAGCCCAAAACAAAGACGGUGCAGACAAUGACUUACACAAGAGUAAAGAUUCACAAUUGAUUUUAAUUGUUGUUAUUGUUAACACCAAAAGCAGGAAGCAUUGCCUUCCUUUCUUUAGGCCCUUCCUUCAUUCACCACUUCCUUCACAGGGUCACCAUGGUACCUGUCAAUCAAGACUGCUUGGCACCAUGGCAACCAAUGAGUGACUUCUUUAAUUAUGGAGAAGUGGGGGGGGAUCCACCUGGAUUUUCACAGAUAAAUAAAUAAAUUGAUAGCCCUGCAGCCCUGGACUAUCAGGCUAACCACAGAGAUGCUGGUGCCCACAGAGACCAUGGGGUGACUGGCUAUGGGGGAAGAGGCUGUUGUGCAGGCUAAAGACCUCUGUGGGGACAAAGGCCAGAGCAGAUAUUGUUCCCUAUUUUGCCCUGCAAGUCCAGGGGAAGCAUGUCCAUUUCUUUGAGAGGGUAGAAAGGAAGCCGUGCUAAUUGACUAUCCAUUAUGCUCCUGUCCCACAGAUCUAUAAAACAAUCCUUCGAGGCAGAGGCAGGGAUUAACCGGUGCUAUACUUUACACAAGAGGAAAUUGAGGCUCAAGAUGCAUGUGAAUUGCCCAAGGGGUCAGUUUGACUUAGUCAGUAAAUGGCAGGCUUAGCUCUGAGGCUGAGCCUGCCUGCCUGCAAAUAUUCUGUCCACCUGCCCUGACUUGGCUAAGGCCUUCUGAUAAUGAAUCAGUGUGUACUAAGAAAAGGUCAGCACUCAGGACACACACACACAACACACACACAGGCUGGCUCCUUGAGGAAGCAACUUCACAGUCCCUUAGACUCCCAUUAAAAGGCUCCUCCUGAGAGGCCCUUGGGCCUGAGGGUGUGCAGUGCUGUAGUGUAGGGGAACACCAAGGAGGGAAGACAGGAGUGGGGAUGGAGCACCCUCAGAGAGGCAGGGGGAAGGAAGAUGGGAUAGAAAGAUUACAAAGGGGAGAGCUGGAAAGGGGAAAACAUUUGAAAUGUAAAUAAAGAAAUAUCUAAUUAAAAAAAAGAAGAAGAAGAAGGAGGAAGAAGAAGGCUCCUCUUCUAGAUUCUUUGUUGCUCUGCCAAAUAGAUUGAUUUUUGUGGAGAUUAUGUCAGCUGAAGGCAAUGCCCCUCCUCGACCUCUAAGGGACAUGCUAACACCCAACCAUGUGAGUUCACUUAGCAAGUUUCCCAGCCUUUGCCUGAAUGGGUCAGUCCUGCAGUCAGAGGCUGUUCAUCUUCACUUUCAACAUGACUGGAUGAAGAAACAACUAGACCAUCCUGAGGCACAUCUGUGACUCUGUCUGUGAGGGCAUUUUCAGGGAGGACUGACUGAGGAGGGAAGACCCACUCUAAUGUGACUGGCCCCAUCUGAUGAGCUGAAGUUCCAGGCUGAGCAUGGGGAAGGGCCAUGGGGAAGAAAGCCAGCUGAGCAUAGCGGUCCCUUCCACUGCUUCCUGGUUGGCUGAGAUGUGAGCAGGCAGCUUCAUGCCCCUACUGCACUGAACCAACAGCCACCAUGUCGUUCUCCUCAUGAUGAAUCAUAGUACCUCAAGAUGUAAGCCAUAAUACCUCCUCUCUCCCCCUUCCUUAUAAGCUGUUCUUUGUAAGGAGUUUGAUCACAAAGAUGAGAAAAGUGGCAGGUGGGGGGAGGGGGGGGAGGAUGGGAAGAGACAGGUGGGGGGAGGAGAGUGAGGCUGAGGCUUGAGGCAUCCUUUGGGAGACAGGUUCACAUCUGACAAAAGCAACUUCGGGAAGGAAUGGCUUCUUGUGGCUCACAGGUUUAGGGUACAGUACACCCUGGUGAGGAAGUCGUAGGGUGACUGCUCACACUACACCCACAGUCAAGAAGCACAAGCACUGGCAGUUGAGGACGUAGGAACAAUCGGCUUGCCUUCUUUUUAUUCAAUCCAGAGCCACAGCCUGAGGAGUGGUGCCGCCCACAUUCAGAGCGGCUCUUCCUACUUGGACUCAUCUUGAAAUUCCCUCACAGAUGUGCCCCAUAGCCUGUCUCUUCAGUGAUUCUGGAUUGUGUCAAUAUCAACCAUCGCAGCAGAUGAGGGAUUUCAGAACCCAGGCAGGGUAAGGGGGAGGAAGUCACCAAGUCAACAUACAGAUCCACAUGACGGUAGUCUUUGCAUGACAGCAUGCAAACAAAAAGCCCAGUAUAAAGAGGACCAGUGGAGAUGAGAGGGUUGUGUUCUUAGGAGGGUCAAAUUGGAAGAAGGUGUCAAACCCAAAGAAAUGCCCCAGGGCAACCAUUGCUCCAUGGGGUGAGAGAAUGAAGGGAACCUGAGGAGAAGGGGGAGUGGUAAUGGAGGUGGACCACACUUGGGAGGUUGAGCCAGUGAUAAUGGGGCUUCUCUCCAGAUAUGGAAAGAACGGAUUAGGACCAUGGCUGAAACAAGACUUGACAGAGACAACUAUGCUUUUCAAUAGCUUAUGCCAAAAAGUGACAAAGGACCCAAAAGUAUAAGAUAACCAUCACAGGGUAGAAAGAUGGCUCAGUGGUUAAGAGCAAUGACUGUUCUUCCAAAGGUCCUGAGUUCAAUUCCCAGUAACUACAUAGUGGUUUACAACCACUAUGGGAUCUGAUGCCAUCAUCUGUGUGUCUGAAGACAGCUACAGUGUACUCAUAAACAUAAAAUAACUCAUAUAAAUAAGUUAUAUGAAUAUAAACUAUUCAUACAAUAAAUUAAAUAAGUAAAUAAAUUUUUUAAAAAAGAUACCCGUCACAAGGAAAGCAAUGGGGUUAGGGAAGUGACUCCACUCCAUCACAGAAGUGCUUCAGGCACCAGGACCUGAGUUUAGUCCCCAGAACCCAUGUGAAAACCAGGAGUGGUGGUGAAUGCUUAGAAUCCUAGAUCUGGCAAGCCAGAGACAGGCAGGUUCCUACAGCUCCCUGGCCAGAUUGCCUAAUUGGCAAUUUGCAGGCCAGUGAGAUAACUGACUCAAAACACAGACAAACAAUAAACCAAAAGCCAGCGAGUGUGCCUGUGCAUGCACAAAUACAACACAGGGAGAGGAACAGGCAGCCUGGAGGGGGGGGCACCCCCACUGGCCAGAGCUGAAACAAUUUAAAUAUCAAAAUAUUGGAGGAUGGUUUUGUGCACUGGGUAUUCAGAUGCUGAUUGCUGUGCCCAAUGAACUGGCACUGUCAUGAUAUUUGGAGCAUCUCCUGUCUCAGUGAUAUGUAAAAAUUAUUUUCCAUUACCUCUGAUUGGUUAAUAAAGAGCUGAUUCAGCCUCUAGCUCAGGAGAAGAGAAUAGGGAGGGACUUCAGAUCCCAGUGAGGAAGUCCCGAGCAAGAAGAGGAGAAAAGAAGAGGAGAACCAGGAGCAUUGGCCAUGAGGUCUCCACGAGGAGAGGAUGGAUGGAGCAGGAACAUCCAGGGCAAGACCAAGAUGGCAGGGAAUGCCACGUGGCUGUGGACUGGCUGGAAAGUAGACCAGGCUAGCAUGGUUGGGUUAGAAUAGCUCCAAACUUGUCCAGCAUAGUGCCUGCAGCUUGUUAAUAAAUUUAUUGGGUGUCCAUGUCAUUUAUUCAGGAGCCAAACCGGCUAGAAUGGGUGUAGAAACACUGUCAUUACUUGGGAGCAAAGGAGACAAAGAAAAGCCCCUGGAAUGACAUCUACAUCAUAAUCAAUUAAUAAAUAAUUAUCAGCUGCUAUAAAAUGAGCCUGAGCUCUGAAGGUCACCACCGGUGAACCAAAACCUGGUGAAGGGUCAGCCAUAAGGGUGCCACAUCACCUGCUAAAGCACACACACAGUGGAAAUGUCUGGCAGGUGGAGCCUUCCUCACAUGUCCAUGGUAACCUCAUCAGAACUAGGACCAACAAAAGUCUUGCCUCACCCAGUAACUAUGAUGGGAAUGUGGCACCACUGCUAUGAUAUCCUGCCCAAAAUACUGGCUCUGCCGUGAUUAUGAAGAAGCAUCGAACCCCAACUUCGCAGCCUCCUCUAAAAUGGCUACAUGCAUGGGGAUUACAGAGAGCCUCGGAAGACUUCGGUGACCAGGAAGAAACAAACACUCUGAGAAAGUCCCUGAGUACCAAGGUCACCUGGGAGAGCAAGUGAUGGGUGACCCUUAGUACCGAGGCCACCAGGGAGAGGAAGCAAUGGGUGAUCCUAGGUACUGAGGACACCUGGGAGAGCAAGCCAUUGGGUGAAGGAAAAGUUGAGGGUGGCGAUGGCUUCCUCCUUCUGGGGCUCGUACUGUAGGUGUUGGGGGAACAUCCAGUUUGUGGGACAAGGAAGACUCGGCACCAGAACACCCACAACUUACAGUCAAUGAACUGGGGGGGACGUUGGAGUGCUUUGCAUACUCUUGAGGCCUCUGUAAGUAUAUGAUUAUUUCGAAGUUUUCUCUUUUUUUAAUGGCUAAGUAUAAUAGAUAGUCAUCAUAAAAUUUUCAGAAAAUUAAAAUAAGCUCUCACUCCUUCACUGAGGUAACUGCCAUUAAUUCUGUGUGCUGCUUCCCAGUCCCUUUUCUAAAAAUAGAUUUUUAAUAAGCUGAAAUUAGACUAUAAAAAUAUUUUAUGGUGUCCCUUUUAAACUUUCUCAAUACUAUUGUUCCACUGUAAAUGUGUUCAAUAAUUCAAUUAACCAACCCCCUAUUAUUUCACAUUUAGACUGUUCCCAAUUUUGUCUUUGUUAUAAAUAACACUAUGGUGUCCAUCUUAAUACCAAUCUUUGAGCACACUAAGGUCUUUCCUUGGAGGAUAUUAGAAGUGGAACCAAGAGAUAUAGGACACAAACUUUUGAAGAUCCCAGUCACUUCAGAUUCCAACAUAAUCACCAUUCCUUCCAUUUUAGUACCUCAGAGACUUAUCUCCUGGGGUCUUUGUAUCUACCCCUGGACCAAGAAGGAAAUCAGCCUUGACAGCUGCCACUCCUAGAGAGGCCACAGUCAAAGCUACGGUGUCCUUCGGCCUUGCUUGAAGCCCAUGGUGGCCAUCAAACAUUCUUUCUCUUCACUAUCUCUGUUGACUCCUCUUCCCCAGCGAGCAGACCUGACCUUUCCCUCAAAGUGGAGUCUCCCUGAUGCAAGUACCCUACUCAUCCCUCCAUCUCUGAUGGUCUUCUCGUAUAUGAUCAGCAACACCUUACUGCCACACUGUUCCUCAGAAAGCAACCGGUGUUUUCUCUACAUACUUCAAAGCAUCUUUACUGCCUCCCUCCCUUCCAAAAUAGGCAGCUUGCCUAUAUACACAGCCCACUGGGUAAACAUCACAGCAUGAACUCACUGCCUGAGACCACUCUGAUCACUUAGGAGUGCUGCUGGCCCCUCUGUGUCUAGUAGUCCCUGUCUUUCAGGUUCUCUCUAGCAACACCACAAUUGUCACAACACACUCUACGGUGAAGAUCAUCUGAGGCCACUUCCCUGUCAUUACACAAGAGUUGAUCGACAGGGGCUGUUUCUUCUCAGCACCCAGGUCUGGGAUAGCACUUCCCACACAGCAACAUGUAGUUCAACAUUCCAUGCCCACAAGACACAGGACCUUGUACCUCCAAACCACAGUCUUUGUGCUGACUCUUUAAUGGGGGCUACUUUUCAAAAGAUGGGAACAAGGUCAUUAAAAGGAGCACUGAAGCCACCGUAAAACUUCAUUUCUAAUCCUGAAACUCAAGGAUCUUUAUUUGCUAGAGAUACUUCUUAGUGAUAAAUUUUUUUCUCAUAUUAUUUUGUUCUCAUCCAAACUUAAAAGAGCUUAUAUCAUCUCCCAGUUUGUGCUUGGCUCACUAAGAAAUGAGAUUAGGCCUUACUGUUGCUUCUGCCCUAAGGACCCCUAAAGCAGAGAGGCUCCUACAAGGACAGGAACAGUCUAGUAUCAGUGCAGGGUCCAUGGGAUACCAUGCUGUCCUCUCUGGGUAGCUUUUGCCAAGGGACUCCCAGGUUCUUUAAGCUGCAGAUGCUAAGGGAAAGGGAGAGGGUAACACACUUAGCCUCAGAACAUUGGUCUACUGAGCAAGACAAGCCAGAGGACAGUAAGAGACAUUGAUGGCCACAGAACCCAUGCAAAGAGUUUUAAUGGUGGAGGCAUGGGAGCUGUAAUAGAUGGAGGAAGCCAGCCAUGAGGAGAGAGAGGAGAAACUGGACAAGGAGGACUCUUGGUGCAGGACCCAGCAACCUAUGCUAAAACUUAAGAGGCAGGCAAGGGAGAUCAGGAGGCCUGGGCAUUAAAGGCCCUCGGAUUUGAGAAGGGCCAGAGUAUUUCAUUUCUGAGGGUAACCAACCAUUAAAUGAAUAAUAGUGGCCAAUUCUCUCAAACUCUGUCUCAAAAUAUAAAGAACUAAGGGAAACCUUGUCACUCCUUCUGCAAGACCAGUGUUUCCCUUACAUCAAAGCCAACCCCAUCGCAGGAAGGAAAGCCACCUGCAAAUACUCCCAACGAAUCCAGAUGCAGAAUCUCGCAGCCAAAUGCUAGGAAGCCAAACCAACAUCACGGGAAAAGGACAAAAUAUUGGAACCAGGAAGGAUUUAUUGACAGGCUAUAAAGUGAAUCCUUUUUUCAAUGUGAUGUCAACAUAUUGAUGUCAUGCAUGUUAAUGCAAUUAAAGGGUGGGGACAACAUGAAAACCUUAGCAGGUACAUGAAAGCAACUAGAAGGUUCAACAUUUCUUUCACAAUAAAAAAGGGUGUUCAUCAAUCUUAAAAAAAAAAAAAAGAAAGAAAGAAACGUCUUCACACAAUAAAGGUUAUCUAUGAAGAGCUUACAGCUAACGAGACUGAAGCUUUUCUGCUAAGAUCAAGCCUGCAAAUUUCAUAAUACUUUUUUUUUUCAAAUGGCUGAGAAUACUCCAUUGCAUAAAUGAACCACAUUUUCUUUAUCCAUUCAUUGGUUGAGGAACAUCUAGGAUGUUUCCAGUCUCUGGAUAUUAUGAAAAAAGUUGCUCUGACCAUAACUGAGUGAGUGUCUCUGUGAUAGUGGGGCAUCUUUUGGGGAUAUGCCCAGGAGCGGUCUUCAGGUAAAUCUAUUGCCAAUUUUCUGAGAAAGUUAAUUAGUUUGUUGAGGUCUAGUUUCUUAGAGUUCUUUAUAUAUUUUGGAUGUCAGCCCUCUGUCACAUAUGGAGUUGGUGAAAAUCUUUUCCCAUUCUGUAGGUGGAAUUUUGUCUUUUUGAUAGUAGCCUUUGCCUUACAGAAGCCUUUUAGUUUCAUGAGGUCCCAUUUAUUAAUUGUUGAUCUUAGUGUCUGAGCUGUUGGUGUUCUGUUCAGGAAGUUGUCUCCUGUGCCAAUGUGUUCAAGGCAGUUCCCCAUUUUUUUCUUCUGACAGGUUCAGUAUAUCUGGUUUUGUGUUGAGAUCUUUGAUCUACUUGAACAUGAGGUUUAUGCAGGGUGAUAGAUAUGGAUCUAUUUGCACUCUUGUACAUGUCCAGUUAGACCAGCACCUUUUGUUGAAGAUGUUUUCUUUUUUUUUUUCCAUUAUAUAGUGUUGGCUUCUUUGUCAAAAAUUAAGUGUCCAUAGGUGUGUGGGUUUACUUAUGCUUCUUCAGUUUGACUGUAUUGAAACACCUGUCUGUUUUUAUGCCAGUACCAUGUGGUUUUUAUUGCUAUUGCUUUAUAAGCUCAGCUUGAAAUCAGGGAUGGUAAUACCACUAGAAGUUCUUUUCUUAUACAGGAUUGUGUUAGCUGUCCUGAGGCUUUUUUUUUCCAUAUGAAGUUGAGGAUUGCUCUUUUAAGGUAUGCAAAGAAUUGUGCUGGAAUUUUGAUGGGAAUUACAUUGAAUAUGUAAAAUUGCUUUUGGUAAAAAUGGCAAUUUUUACUAUGUUAAUCUAUAAGCAUGGGAGAUCUUUCCAUCUUCUGGUAUAUUCUUCAACUUAUUUCUUCAAUGAUUUGAAGUUCUUGUCAUAUAGUUCUUUUGCUUGGUUGGUUAGAAUUACACCAAGAUAUUUUACAUUAUUUGUGGCUAUUCUGAAGGGUGUUAUUUCUCUAAUUUCUUUCUCAGCCUGGUUAUCAUUUAUAUAUAGGAGGGCUAGUUAUUUUUUAUUGUUGUUGUUAUUUUUGUAUCCAGCCGGUUUGCUGAAGGUGUUUACCAGUUGUAGGAGUUCUAUGGUAGAAUUUUUGGAGUUACUUAUGUAUACUAUCAUAUCGUCUUCAAAAAGCAAUACUUUGACUUCUUCCUUUUCAAUCUAUAUCCCCUUGAUCUCCUUGGUCUGAUUGCUCUAGCUAAAACUUCAACAACUAUAUUGGAUAGAUAGGGAAAGAGUGGACAGCCUUGUCUUGUCCCCUGAUUUUAGUUGAAUUGCUUUCAGUUUCUCUUGAUUUAAUUUAAUAUUGACUAUUGGCUUUCCGUACGUUGCCUUUAUUGUGUUUAGGUAUAUGCAUUGUAUCCCUGGUCUCUCCAACACUUUUAGCACGAAGGACAGUUGGAUUUUGUCAAAGGCAUUUUCAGCAUCUAAUGAGAUGAUCGUGUGGAUUUUCCUUUCCAUUUGUUUAUAUGGUCAAUUACAUUAAUGCUUUUAUUGAACCAUUCCUGCAUCCCUGGGAUGAAGCCUACUUGAUCAUGGUGAAUGAUGUUUUUGAUGUGUUCUUGGAUUCAGUUUGUGAGUAUUUUAUUGAAUAUUUUUACAUCAAUGUUCAUAAGGGAGAUUAGUCUGCAAUUCUCUUUCUUGGCUGAGUCUUUGUGAGGUUUAGGUAUCAGGGUGACUGUGACCUCAUAAAAUGAAUUUCACAGUAUUCCUUCUGUUUCUAUUUUGUGGAAUACUUUGAGGAGUAUUAGAAUUAGCUCUUCUUUGAAAGUCUGGUAGAGUUCUUUGCUAAAACCAUCUGGCCCUGGGCUUUGUUUGUUGUUGUUAUUACUGGGAGACUUGCAAUGACUGUUUCUAUUUCCUUAGGGGUUAUAGGUCUAUUUAGAUUGUUUACCUGAUCUUGACAAGAAAAGCAUCCAUUUUGUUUAGAUAUUCCAAUUUUGUGGAAUAUGGGUUUGUGAAGUAAGACCUAAUGAUUCUUUGGAUUUCCUCAGUGCCUGUGGUGAUGUUCCCCUUUUCAUUCCUGAUUCUGUCCAUGUGGCUUUGUUCUUCCUGCCCUUUAGCUAGUUUGGCUAAGGGUUUGUCUAUCUUGUUGUUUUUCUCGAAGAAUCAGCUCUUUGACUCACUGAUUCUUUGUAUUGUUCUUUUUGUUUUUAUCUUAAUGAUUUGACCCCUGAGUUUGACUAUUUCCUGCCAUCUGCUCCUCUUGGGUAUGCUUGCUUCUUUGUGUUCUAGUGCUUUCAGGUAUGCUAUUAAGUCACUAAUAUGAAAUCUCACUAAUUUCUUUAUGAAGGCACUUAAAGAUGAAACCAGAAAAGAUCUGAGUGAAGUAACCCUCACUCGGAACCAGAAAGACAAAUAUGGGAACAAGCACUGCGAUGCAUCUGUUUCCUUGCUGCUACUCAACACCGUACUAAAGGAUUUGCAGCCAAUGCAAUUAGAUGAGGAUGUAACGCUUUCAGCUGCUUCUCUAACACCAUGCAUGUGUGCUUCCCAUCAUGAUGCUGAGCAUCCAAACGUGUAAAGAGGCUCCCGAUUAAAUGCUCUCUUCUCUGA